rnacentral:tRNA from 1 species
GUCUAUUUAUCUAAACAAAAGAAUAUAUCUUGAAAAUAUAAAAUAGGUCAUCCGCCUAAUAGUCU